rnacentral:rRNA from 1 species
CUUCCGCCGGCGACCGGCGCACGGGUGAGUAACACGUAUGCAACCUGCCCCUGUCAGGGGGACAACCCGCCGAAAGGCGGGCUAAACCCGCGUACAUGCCACCGGGGCAUCCCGGAGGCAGGAAAGGCUUCGGCCGGACAGGGAUGGGCAUGCGGCGCAUUAGGCAGUAGGCGGGGUAACGGCCCACCUAACCGACGAUGCGUAGGGGUCCUGAGAGGAAGGCCCCCCACACUGGAACUGAGACACGGUCCAGACUCCUACGGAAGGCAGCAG